rnacentral:rRNA from 1 species
UACGGAGGGUGCAAGCGUUAUCCGGAAUCAUUGGGUUUAAAGGGUCCGUAGGCGGGCGUCUAAGUCAGUGGUGAAAUGCAGGGGCUCAACUCCGGCACUGCCAUUGAUACUGGAUGUCUUGAAUCAUCAUGAAGUGGUUAGAAUAUGUAGUGUAGCGGUGAAAUGCUUAGAUAUUACAUAGAAUACCGAUUGCGAAGGCAGAUCACUAAUGAUGCAUUGACGCUGAUGGACGAAAGCGUGGGUAGCGAACAGG